rnacentral:rRNA from 1 species
GACGGGGGGUCCUAGCGUUGCUCGGAAUUAUUGGGCGUAAAGCGUGUGCAGGUUGUUUAAAAAGUUAGAUGUGAAAUCCUUGGGCUCAACCCAAGACGGUGCAUUUAAAACUGUUAGACUUGAGUAUGGAAGAGGGUCGUGGAAUUCCCGGUGUAGCGGUGAAAUGCGUAGAGAUCGGGAGGAACACCAGAGGCGAAAGCGGCGACCUGGACAAGAACUGACACUCAACUACGAAAGCGUGGGGAGCAAACAGGG